CUCACAACAUGUGAAAGGAAUCUUUAAUUGAGAUUAAGCUUAAUCUAUCUUGAAAUGGAGAAAUUGUCCUCCAUUAUUUAGUUUAAUUCACAUAGUCACAAGUGUUCUUCCCAUAGGAAGGUGAGAGGACAGAGUAGGAAAAAAAAUGAAAUGACUGGAGAAUCAGAGAUCAAAGUGAUGAUGCUGUAAGACAAGAGAGAAAUAAGUUGCAAAGUCAAAGUUACCAACUCUUAUUGACAUAGGAAGUUUGAUCCUGUCUUCAAAAGAUUUGAUUUCAAUCAUAGACUGUGACUUGGAUGAAGGAAGCAGAUACUGACAAUACAAAACCUAACAAGACA
rnacentral:lncRNA from 1 species